GGUCUUAUAGUGUAGUGGUUAUCACAGUGGAUUUUGAUUCUGCUCCUUGACUCGCUAUUCCAUUAACCCAGGUUCGAAUCCUGGUUAGACCU